ACCGUUCCCAAGGGAAGCCAAAGACGGUCAUGGUCGUGGAGGUCGGUCGGUAAAGAAGGGCCUCGAGCUCUCCUGUCCUUUCCUCCUUCUCCUUUGUCUUCUCCUAUUCCUAUUCCAUGUUUUCUUUCCCUCGAUUCAAGAAGUCUCCAAACCCUAGGCCUCCGGUUGGUAAUCUUUGUCAAGAUAAUGAUACCCUUCUUCUCUUCUUCGUCUUCUCGUCAUGAUUCUAGGUUAUGUUAUGCUUUUCUCUCCCCUCGAUGCAAGAAGUCUACGUUAUGUUAUGCUUCUCUCUCUCCCGUCCCCCUUCCUUCUUUUCUAGGGUGUUUCGUGCUUCUUUUCUUUUCUUUUUGCCGUGAGGUGUGAGGUGUCCAAAGAGAGGUUGUGAUGAUUCCUGGACGAGGGUUUGGUGCGUUCUGAAGCAGAAGACUUGCUGCCGUCUUGAUUUCUCGAGACUAAGAACACAGUGCUGGAAUAAAUGACUCCUGGAUCGUAUUCUCUGUUGCUAUCAAGUGGUGUACCAAGGGAUACUGCAUUACUAUCUAUAUUGUUAAAUCUGGGUGACCUCCAUAGUUGUGCCAUUUCCAUGUUCGGCAGAUACUCUACACACUUAUCAACUAUAUCUGUUGUGGAAGGUUUGACUCUUUGGCCACACGCCUUAAGCGAUGAUGGGUGUUCUUUCAUUGUUUAUCCAGUUGACCAGUUAAUAUACCACUUUUUUCUUUUGAAUAUAUUGUAAAAAGAUAGAAAUACUUGGGAAAAUGUUGGAUGGUUAUGGUCAUGGCCAUGGUUAAAAAGGUUGAGGUUUUUCUCAUGAAAA